AGGCAGGCCCGGGAGCCGGAGGGGGCGUGGCCACUGUCCCCCCGCCGCCAUCACCCCACUCCCACACCGCCCCCCGAGGCCAGGAGCGAGAAGGACCCCGAAGAGCCCAAGCAGAUUUUGGCAGUUUCCUGCCCAAAUCACCACUUCUGGUGAAACGGUGGCUGAAAGGAAAAACAUGCAGUGCUGGCAACACGCAGAGCCAACUCUUUUCAUCUGGAAGUACCUUCGUGGAAAUACCGCCACCUGAAUGGAAACACAGUUUGACCAUAAGGUGCCACCAGAAGUGACUGGGGUUGAUGUGGCCUAAGUCUUAGCCUGCCCCACACAUACUUGGUUCUCAAACACCCACCCACACCCACCGGACACACUCUGCUUGGCAUGGCUCUGGCUAAGGCAGGUCUUCUGGAAGCUUCAGUGUCUUAUCUCCUUCUGCACGAAGCCUCGGGCCUUUCUGGGGAAGAGCUGCUACAGUGGGGAAUGAGAACAAGAUGUGACUUGCUCGUUUACUUCCACCGUAAACCUCUCUUAUUUGAACAACCAUGUCUACAGGAGCAGCUUACCUAACCCUCUGGACUUUAGUUUCUUCUUGGGCAAAGUAGAAACAACAUCCACCUUCAAGGGCAGUUGUGCCAAUUAAAUGAGAAAACCUCAGAGUUGUGUUUGAUCCAGAAUAACAGGUCCGUGGGCUCCUUCCCUUUCUGGGGUCACCUAUCAUCUUCCCCUCAGGUGACGUGGGGUGAGGAGUCCAUGAUGCUGAGAAGACAAGACAACCAACUGUGGACAAGAAAGGGUCCAGCCAAGGUCACAAGCCUUCCCCAGAAUGGGAUCGUGCACAGAGGGAAAUGGUCAUAAGGCAGUCAUUCAGCAGCUCGAGCUGGCAAGCUGACCAUCGCUCAGUUAGACACUGCUGCCAGCGAGAAAUGGUGAACCAGCCAGCCUCCAUCCAGCCACUCGUGGUAUUUUUUGAAAUCAGUAUUAUAACAUGGGAAAUGCCUACAAUAUAACACUAACUGAAAAGGGGACCAAAUAGCAAACAUCAAUCUGGUUACAACUCUAUUAUUAAAAUAAGCACA